rnacentral:rRNA from 1 species
GGGAAUAUUGGGCAAUGGGCGCAAGCCUGACCCAGCAACGCCGCGUGAAGGAAGAAGGCUUUCGGGUUGUAAACUUCUUUUCUCAGGGACGAAGCAAGUGACGGUACCCGAGGAAUAAGCCACGGCUGACUACGUGCCAGCAGCCGCGGUAAUACGUAGGUGGCAAGCGUUAUCCGGAUUUACUGGGUGUAAAGGGCGUGUAGGCGGGAAAGCAAGUCAGAUGUGAAAACCAUGGGCUCAACCUGUGGCCUGCAUUUGAAACUGUUUUUCUUGAGUACUGGAGAGGCAGACGGAAUUCCUAGUGUAGCGGUGAAAUGCGUAGAUAUUAGGAGGAACACCAGUGGCGAAGGCGGCUUGCUGGACCGUAACUGACGUUGAGGCUCGAAAGCGUGGGGAGCAA